GGGGAAUUGAUCGCAAUGGGCGCAAGCCUGACGACGCAACGCCGCGUGGAGGAUGAAGAUUUUCGGAUCGUAAACUCCUGUCGAAUGGGACGAAUAGAUUGCGGGUGAACAGCCCGUGGUCCUGACGGUACCCUUAAAGGAAACCCCGGCUAACUCCGUGCCAGCAGCCGCGGUAAUACGGAGGGGGCUAGCGUUAUUCGGAAUUAUUGGGCGUAAAGGGCGCGUAGGCGGCCCGGUAAGUCAAAGGUGAAAUCCCUCGGCUCAACUGAGGAACUGCCUUUGAAACUGUCGGGCUUGAGGCCGGGAGGGGGUAGCGGAAUUCCCAGUGUAGCGGUGAAAUGCGUAGAUAUUGGGAGGAACACCGGUGGCGAAGGCGGCUACCUGGACCGGUUCUGACGCUGAUGCGCGAAAGCGUGGGUAGCAAA
rnacentral:rRNA from 1 species